AUGGCUCAGAUUGAACGCUGGCGGCAGGCUUAAUACAUGCAAGUCGAACGGUAGCAGCAGGAAGGCUUGCCUUUCUGGCUGACGAGUGGCGGACGGGUGAGUAAUACCUGGGAAACUGCCUAUAAGAGGGGGACAACACCUGGAAACGGGUGCUAAUACCGCAUAAGCCCUGAGGGGAAAAGGAUGGGAAACCAUGCGCUUAUAGAUGUGCCCAGGAGGGAUUAGCUUGUUGGGGAGGCAAAGGCUCACCAAGGCGACGAUCUCUAGCUGGUCUGAGAGGAUGAUCAGCCACAUUGGGACUGAGACACGGCCCAAACUCCUACGGGAGGCAGCAGUAGGGAAUAUUGCACAAUGGGGGAAACCCUGAUGCAGCCAUGCCGCGUGUGUGAAGAAGGCCUUCGGGUUGUAAAGCACUUUCAGCGGGGAGGAAGGCGGGAGUUCCAACAGGGCUUUCCGUCGGACGCUGCCCGCAGAAGAAGCGCCGGCUAACUCCGUGCCAGCAGCGGC
rnacentral:rRNA from 1 species